GUUCAAACUCCUUGUUAGUAAAGAAGUUAAUGUUCAUAUCUAAACAUUUAAAAAAAAUUCAUACUCAUUCAAAUUGGGUAUAUACUCAAUUUGAAUCUUGGAUCCCAUACUCCAUGUAGCACAAGUUAAUUUACCUUUUCCCCCAUAUAUAUAUAUAUAAAAGAGAAAAAAAAUGUUUAGUCACUACUAAAUUACGAUUUUUUAUAAUAAUGUUCCUCCAUGUUUCUAUUACCGUUAAUUAGGAUAAUAGUACGAAUAGAUAACCCAUCGAUCAAAAUAGAUAAUAGAUCAUAUUGAUUUCUACUUUUAUAGUAUAGAGCACCAUAGUGGGCUCAAUUACAUUUUCAAUGAGCAGUACAAUAAGAUUAUUUUUUACCUAAAUAACUACUCUGUUUGUUUUUUCUUAAUGUUUAAACUAAAAAAUGUCAGACAUUAAAGGAUAAGGAUAAUAUCAGAUUGCCAUAUAUUUACUGUGAAUACUUCUCUGCGAGCAGCGUUUCCUGCCGUCAGAAUUCGGCAUGGAUCCAUCGAGGAUGGGGAAUGCUCUUGAACCUGGGAGGGUUACAUUAGAAACUAUUAAGAGCGGCGGGCUGGGCGGCCGCUCGCGCGUGCCACGUCGGAUAGCUACAGUGCGCGGGUGGAAGUUUUUCGAAAAAGUCCUUCUAUUUUUUGUAAUUAUAUAUAUGUCCUUAUAAACAGUACUUGAAGGGGAAAAAUCGCGGAAAGGGACUGCUCUGUAAAAUAAGGAAAGAAUAGGGUUUUUCUUCAAAAAUGACGCCCACUAAUCUAACCCCCCAGACCUUAUCCGCCGCCGCCCGCACCCUCUCCCUCUGCCCGCUCCCUCUCCCUCUCUUCCGCCGCCGCCUUGGCCACCCCUCGCGCCGCCGUCCCCGCCUCCGCCUCACACCGCGGCCCCUCGCCACCGUCCCUGCGUCGCGCUCCCACCUCCGUCUCCGCCCCUCGCCGCCGCCCCGCCUCUUCCUCGCGCCGCCACCGCCGCCGCCUCCGCCUCGCACAGCCGCCAUCCCCGCCUCCGCCUCCUGCCGCCGGCGUAAGAAUCCAGCCUCGAUGUGGUCGGGGGACGGGGAUCUGACUUCCCCCGUGCACCGGGCGGUGCCGCAGCCUCCGUCCCCCGACCACAUGGAAGGGGCGGCCUCGGGUGGAGCUGGUGUCGUUGCCGCGACCUCAUUGGCUAAAGGCCGGUUGUCCGUCGAUCUAGAGGAGGGAGAGGUGACAGCAGCAGUAAAGAGUGGGAAGGGGCUGUCAACGGCAGUAUGGGGGAGAAGCGUUGGAGCCCGCUUCCCCUACUCUCACAGGGGCCGCCGCUGUCGAACCUGUGUUACCUGGGGGCGGAGUUCAGGUUCCAGCGGGUGGAGCUCGGGGCGGAGAUGAUGACCGACGGUGAGGCAGUUCGAUGAGCGCCAUAUCUGCUCUUCUACAAGGGCCCCAAGGUCUGUUCGUCCCAGGUCGAUGCUAAGGAAUCUGACCACCUAUGUUGCUUUCUUGCCGCUGCCAUCAAGACACCAAGUCGAGCUUCAAGAAGGGCAUUUUUGUAUAGUGCAAACUGCUUGGUGGUGUGUCACUGAGGUUCCUACAGACGUACUGGAUGGAUGCAGAUGUGGUAACAGCCUUCGAGCUAAGCCGGGCCAUCGACGAUGGAGUGCUGCAGCCUUUGCCCUUUGGUUCGCUGACAUGCUGUUCCUUCUAUGUGAGGUUGCCAGUACCACGGACUCGCCGUCAGCACUGUGCAACGUCAUCCUUCUGCGCUAGACUGACUCCACCCUCUGCUGAGUGAGAUCGCGUGCUUUUUCCACUCGCUACAAGUCCGAGCAGCCAAGCACUUAUCGCAAGAAUGGAAAACCAGCUGCCAUUCAAUAUGGCACUGGUUCAGUUGAUGGGUUUUUCAACGAGGAUAGUGUUACAGUAGGUGAUCUGGUUGUGAAAGAUCAGGAAUUGCUUCACCGCUUUAGGAAUUCAUUGAAGUUAUAAAGGAGCCAAGCCAUAUACUUUCAUGGUUGCAAAAUUCGAUGACAUUCUUGGUCUCGGAUUUCAGAAAAUAGCUAUUGGAGAUGAGGUGAAUAUUUGGCUUUGAUUGGUGAAAAAUUAAUGGAGCGGAUAUAAUCGAACUUGGACUUGCUACGCAUUGUCCCAUCAGUGGUGCUUUGGUUCGCAUAAUAAACUGAGAAAAUAUUAUGGGAGUCUUCUCUUCAUUGCUGCCCUAGGCAACAAGGUGUAUGGAUAUGCCAUCAACCAACUCAAGAAUUGCACUGUAAAAUGUCAAAAACAAAAUGGAAAGUAUUUGUGUUCUUAUCAAGGUCUUUCUGUUGAGUUUUAAGGAUCAGAGUGAAGAUCUCUUGAUGGUCCAUUUGUGUUGGUUUGGAUCAACAACAUGCCAUGUGCUGCUGAUAGUAUCAUGGCGGUUCUUGGGGCCAAGGAGGCGCGCCAUUGGUUUGUCCUUAAGAUGACAUAUUGUUAAUAUCAUAUGAGGUCAUUAUAGCAUUUGGAAGAAUGGGAACCAUGUUUCGGUGUGAUAUGUAUGACAUCAAACCAAAUUUUGUCUCAAUAGGCAAUGUGAGUUCAGGCUUCAGUAGUACCAGAGUGAUUAUUGAUAACUACCGAGAUGUCCACGUCAGAGUGGUACGAGCUCCAGAUUAAGAAGAACAAGCUUUGUGACAUGUUUGAUGAGGCGCCUUCCCAAUGGUGCAUGAUUUAGUGAAAGCAAGGGAUAACCACUUUGUUAGAGUCAAUUUCGACUCGUGAUUUGUCCUCUAUAGUCGUCGUUUGGAACUACCCCAUCUAUACCA